UACGUAGGUGGCAAGCGUUGUCCGGAUUUACUGGGCGUAAAGCGUAUGCAGGCGGACCUUUAAGUAGGAAGUGAAAGGUUGGAGCUCAACUCUAACACUGCUCCCUAUACUGGAGGUCUUGAGUGCCGGAGAGGAAGAUGGAACUACACGUGUAGCGGUGAAAUGCGUUGAGAUGUGUAGGAACACCAAUGGCGAAAGCAAUCUUCUGGACGGAUACUGACGCUGAGAUACGAAAGCCAAGGUAGCAAACAGG
rnacentral:rRNA from 1 species